GAACUGCAGCUACAUCAAAUGACUACUUCAAACAUCAGCACCUAGUUCAACAGCUACAUCAAAUGAAUCUGAAAAUGCUAUACUAAAUGACUACCUAGUUCACUUUCUACACCAGGAAAGCUACUAGGGCACUUGCUAGUAUCUUGUUCAGGAGUCUAAUCAAAAUGAAAAGUGGUUACAUAUACAUCAACAAAGGACUAAAGGAAACUACAAAUCAAAGAACUCUUGAGAAAGACAAUGUCUACCCAUGAAAGAAAUCUUGUUUGUUUGGACGCUGAAGUUGUUGAAUGGUCCAUGGCAACAUGUCCUGUGCUUCUACAAAGUGACCACUAGAAACUACACUUACUGAACUUCUUCAUGCCAUGAGAGUAAACCUCCACACAGUGUAAUGGCUAUGACUGAAAUCUCUCCUGCUCUGUUCUCUGCUCAUCCUGCAUUUCAUAAUAGAGUCUGUUGCCUAAUCCAGUUUUCCAGAGAUUCUGUAGAAAAUUUUUAAAGCCACAUUGUACAGACCAGCAUUGUUUCCAGGAGACUUUGAUAGCUUCACUAUUCAUUCUUUGUUAUUGAAAGUUACUUAAAAAUAAAAUUGCAACAAAUAUACAUUACAAAUAUUUUGCAUGUCUUAUAAGCUACUCCCUAUGGCAAAAUAUUUUGCCUUUAUGGUUUGUGAAAUGUCAUCAGCUGGGUAGGUUUCUGUGCAUCUCACUCGAGACAAAUGGAUAAGAUAACAUCUUUAACUUGUAUCUAUAAAUUGGAAAUACCAAUACAAUGUUUGUUGAUGUUACACUUGUAUCUGAUAUUAUUUUUCUUGUUUACAAAAUCUUGUGAACGAAGUGGAAGCAUUUUCUUGCAAUCAUGUUAUGUCUACCAU